UAGAUACCCUGGUAGUCCACGCCGUAAACGAUGUUCACUAGCUGUAUGCGAUAUGAUUGUAUGCGGCCGAGCGAAAGCAUUAAGUGAACCACCUGGGGAGUACGUUGGCAACAAUGAAACUCAAAGGAAUUGACGGGGGCCCGCACAAGCGGAGGAACAUGUGGUUUAAUUCGAUGAUACGCGAGGAACCUUACCUGGACUUAAAUGUAGGCUGCAUAGAGUAGAGAUAUUCUUUUCUUCGGACUGCCUGCAAGGUGCUGCAUGGUUGUCGUCAGCUCGUGCCGUGAGGUGUCGGGUUAAGUCCCAUAACGAGCGCAACCCCUAUCGUUAGUUGCCAUCAGGUUAAGCUGGGGACUCUAACGAGACUGCCGGUGUAAACCGCGAGGAAGGUGGGGAUGACGUCAAAUCAGCACGGCCCUUACGUCCAGGGCUACACACGUGUUACAAUGGCCGGUACAGAGGGCAGCUACAUAGCAAUAUGAUGCGAAUCUCGAAAGCCGGUCUCAGUUCGGAUUGGAGUCUGCAACCCGACUCCAUGAAGUUGGAUUCGCUAGUAAUCGCGCAUCAGCCACGGCGCGGUGAAUACGUUCCCGGGCCCUGUACACACCGCCCGUCAAACCAUGGAAGCUGGGGGUACCUGAAGUACGUUACCGCAAGGAUC
rnacentral:rRNA from 1 species